AGUGGAGUUGUCGGGCAAUCUCAGGAUAGGGCAGAAAAGACUUCAGGACAAGAGGUUCGCGAGAGAUCCUCUGGCGUGGUUGAUGCAUUUUCUAGAAGGAACCCUACAGGUUCUGGACAUCCGAGCGACUAUUCUAAGCACAGAUCAAUUAAUGGUGCACCUUCGUCCUCCAGGGAAGCGGUUCAAAAUUCAGAAAAGUCCCGCCCAUCCUCGCGAAAUAGCAGUAUAUUGAACAAAGCUCUGUUCUCUAGCAGUAGGCCGAGCACUUCUGGAGAUUUUGAGCCAGCGGUCAGCCGAAUGAGCCGGCU
rnacentral:misc_RNA from 1 species